UGUUUUUGUGUCUAAAAGGAAAAAAACACUUGGACUAAAUUUUGGACUAAAUGUUUUCUCUUGUGGCAUUUGUAACCUCCCCUUUUCAAAACUCCUUGUCUAAAACUCUGCCUUUGAGAUAACUUGAAAUGUUGUACUUUAGGUGUUUUCUUGGUCUUCUGGACUUGUCUUACUGGGCCCUUAUUGUAUUUUGCAUUAAGUUUAAGCUAUUCAUCUUUACCACUAAGGCUCUUUCCUACUGCACUCCAGCCUACGUCUCGUAUGCCUUCUCCUCCUACUCCUCUGCUGACUCUCUAUACUCCUGUCAAGUGCAUCUUCUGUCCCCUUUGUUAGCCUGUCUCGCUGUUGCCAGUGUGCAGUUGCAUGCUGUUUUCUGUGCCCAGAACAACAUCUCACUGCUGUUAACUCCUUUCCCUUCUUCUAACCCCUCUACUAGACUCAGUUGGGCACAACUGAAUAAAAUUCCAAGUAGGCAGAAUAACUAGCUCCCCCUUCCCUUUUUACAACUUCUUCAGAGCUUAAGUAGAAAUCCCUCUUUAUGGUAUUUGUUCCUUGGAUUUUAAAUUCAAUGGCUGUUCCACCUUACUGUACAAAGGAUUAAACUCAAGCUCAAGAACUCUAUCUAAAACUGACAAAUGAUGAUCACUAUCAAGAUAUUUUGUAUUCAUGUGGAUUUUGUGACUCUGACUUAACUCUUUAACAUCCUCGAAAUACAAUGACUUUGGCGCAAAGACUGGAGGCAAGAUUUGCAAUGUUAUUAGCAAAAUAAGCUUUUCUGCAAAUGAAGAGGAAGGAGAGAAGAACCUUUUAGAAAGAGUCGCUUGAUAAAUAAGUGGCCAAUGGCAGGGGAAUGAUUGUCAAAUAGAGUCAUGAUCCUAAAAAGGAUAAGUGAUCACUCUAAAUGAAAUGAAGUGUUGGUUGCUGGCUUGGAGACAGCAGUGGCCAAUAGUUAAGAGGACAAAGCCAAUUAAGUGAACUCUUGAAAAAUCACCAAAACAUUGAACAGUGAAAUACUUAGAUUGAAAACACUACAAUAUUUGCUGUGGAGAAACAGAACUUUGUGGAUUUAUGAAUGGAAAUGAGAUAUAACGUUCUGGAUUCUUACAAGAGAGCAGAAAGCAUGAGCAAUGCAUCUCACUCCUUUGUUGUGGAGGAGGAAUAUAAGAGAUGGCCGGGAUUGCUUAUUGAAGAUGAGGAAGUACCCCUCCCCCCAAGAAUGUGCAUGAUUCUGUUGCUGCUGGUGGUCACUGAGGAUGUGAUGAUCUUCUCAUAAGUUUGUGCAGUUUUUAGUGCUAUUUAGCUUCACCUUGGUGCACUACCUCUAUGAGGAUAUGGCAGAGGAGGCACCCAUGUCUUCCUUUAGUCCUGCCUUUGGUCCAUAUCUCCACCCCCCCCCCCCCCCCCCCCACCACCAAAAGCAAGCUGUCAGGUAACUCUAGGGCCUGGGCUUUCUCCUCUCUUCUCUAUAUUCUUUUGUAUUGAGUCAAACCCGGAAGUCCUCCUCUGCAUUCUCUGAUAGAUAAAGAAACUGGGAACAAGUUGGAGACUUCCUCCACCUUUUUCCUAAUUUCCCUAUAACGUGCUCUCUUUUUGUCCCGUUCUCCUGGGCUCAGUCAGCAAGUCCUCCUUCAAAAUCUCCAGAAAAGAAGGAGGCACAGUUCCUGGUGUUCAGAUAUGCUCCCAAGUUCCAAAAGACACAGGUCACAUUCUCCCUCAUACUCCCUCAUAGGGCUCACUGCACUUUGAAGGCAGGCUUCAGGUUGGUCUCUAGUUCCCUGACUCUAAAUAUUUAGCUAACUAGUAGGCUGUCAGGCUUUCUGCCUUGCCAGUGAUCACUUUCUGUAUUUCACUGAAACUCCCUCUUUACUUGACUUCUGGUGGGUUGAGGGGAACUAUUUUUCUGCCCACUUAGGGGUGUUAUGCCGGUUGGCAAUGGGAGAGGUGGUUCCUUUGCCUCUGAAUAAGUCCUCAGGGAGACUUUUGGCCUCAUUGGUUGGAGAGGCCUUUAAAAGUAUGGAAUCCUUAUACAAUUUUGUCAUCAUAUUUCAAUUAGAAUAACAAAUUCCAAGACAACAAGAAAAAUCCCAUCAACAUGCCGUUAUAAUAGCACAAAACUAAAGUAAAUGAUAUACUUCAUUCUUACAUGACAUUGUGUUAUACAAUGAAAAACAAAACAAAACAAAACACAAACUAACCCACAGAUAUGGCAAACCAAAUUUUUCAGUACCUAAGAUUUUAAGUUAGGUAUGCUUAGAGUAGCAUUGAUUUUCAAAGAUCAUCAGAAGUAUUAUUAGUGAAAAUAUUAUAGGUGUUUUGUCUGACUUUCUCUUGGAAUAUAGCAGGUGUAAGAUAGAUGUCAGAGUGAGGGAGAGGAGUUAGGCCUAUUAUUAAAUCAUUGAUCAGUCAAGAAUAUAUCUCACUUAGUAACAAUGUUUAACUCUUUAUUAGUAGGGCUUUGAAUACAAUAAGCAAGACUGAUGUUUAUUUAAAAACAAUAAACAUAUUUUUCUUUGAGACCUUUUCAAAGAUUACUUGUUAAUCUUAUGCCUCAUAGUCCCCUUAACAGAGAGGUUUGAAUAAAGAAGUAUUUUAGGUUCUGGCUUAAAUAUUAAGAUGGUUUUAAGCAUUCCCAAUGGCUAACAAGUAUAAUGAUUAUCAUUCCCAGAGCAGUACUGUCUUCAGACUUUCUCAGCUGAAUUCUUUUUGAGUGACAUUUCUGCUAUCCAUAUCCUUCUUGUUAAGAACUCAAUAAUGGACUAGGUUAAUUAGAGAUAGGUAAUCUUACCUUGUGUUAAUCAUCCUUCUGUUAGAAUAAAUUAACCUUUUAGCUCCUAUUUUCUGGAAUUCCCAGCCUCCGUAGACACUGUUCUUGAGGCAUUAGAUAGCCUCAUGAAAUUUUAAACUCAUUUGAAUUUAGAAAUAUCCAUUACUGAUAGAGUUAUUAAACUUAAUAAUCACAGAGAUUUACUCUGAGAUCAUUGAAGAUUAGCCUAAUUCAGAUACUUUAUAGGCUUGUUUCUUCCUAGCUGUGUGAUUUGGGGAGAUGUGGUUAUCAUCUCUGAGUUUUCAUUUCCUGACUUAAAGAAUGGGAAUCAAUAUUAUUCACUGAAAUUAUAGAAAUCAAAUGGGUUAACACCUAUAGUGGAUUCUGAAAUGCACUACUGAAAUGUUUGGUACUGGGAGUAUUAUUUUGAAAUACAGUCAAGUCAGAAGAUUUCACUUUUUGUCCUCUUGGUGUUAACUGUUCACUAAUAUCCUGGAUUCUUUUCCCUGGCUCCCUUGAAUCAUUGUCAAGGAACAAAAUAAUGGCAAAAAGUUGUGGCAGUGGGCAUUCUGACCACUUGUAGCUCCCAUAAUUCUUUCGUACAUGUGUAGCCCAGGCAGAUUUAUGUCAGUCCACCCAAGAAUAGAGCACAUUGGGAGUCACAGUGGAGAUUCACAACACCCCAUAACAAACUGAAAAAC